rnacentral:rRNA from 1 species
UGAGGAAUAUUGGACAAUGGGCGAGAGCCUGAUCCAGCCAUGCCGCGUGCAGGAAGACGGUCCUAUGGAUUGUAAACUGCUUUUAUACGGGAAGAAACACCCUCUCGUGAGGGGGCUUGACGGUACCGUAAGAAUAAGGAUCGGCUAACUCCGUGCCAGCAGCCGCGGUAAUACGGAGGAUCCAAGCGUUAUCCGGAAUCAUUGGGUUUAAAGGGUCCGUAGGUGGAUGAUUAAGUCAGAGGUGAAAUCCUGCAGCUCAACUGUAGAAUUUGCCUUUGAUACUGGUUAUCUUGAAUUAUUAUGAAGUAGUUAGAAUAUGUAGUGUAGCGGUGAAAUGCAUAGAUAUUACAUAGAAUACCAAUUGCGAAGGCAGAUUACUAAUAAUGGAUUGACACUGAUGGACGAAAGCGUGGGGAGCGAACAGGAUUAGAUACC